UGAAGUGACGUUGGUGCAUAGGAGAGCCACAUUCAUCAUCACCAUGGCUUCCUUUUUGUUGAAAUCUAAACCUAAUCUUCUAUCAACUAGCUCCAUUAGGUCACCUUUCUCUUUCAACAAUUGUGCCUGUUGAAACCAAGUCAUUUAUAAUUGGUACAUUCAAUAUCUAAAAAUUCUUCAAAUUAUGAAAUUGGGUCAUACUUCUGUUAAAUUACUUAAGAGCAAAAUGAUACCGCUUAUUAAUAUACUCCUUGAUAUUAUGAUUCUAGAAAAGGGAAGUAACUUAAAAUGUUAUGUACAAUUAUUCUUCUGGACAAGUAAAAAUUACAUAUUCUUCUGAUUCUCUUUGUUGUCCUAAUGAAAUGUAAUACUUAAACAAACAAAUUUUAAUUGUUGGUCAAGACGAGGAAAGGGGUGAUAAAGGGGAUACAUGACUUUAUUCACUUUUAGAUUUGAAUUAUUAGAUGAAAAAUGAAAAAUAUACACAAGGCACUGAACAAAGUGUAUGUAGACAGUAGCAUGCAUGGAUAAUCAAAUUAUUAGAUGAAAAAUAUACACUUUUUGAGAACAUCAUCAAAAAUUUACCCAAUCAAGAAGAUAGAAUGCUUCCUCCUUUGUCCGAUGAAUGGUGUUUCUCCUUCCGCUGACAAUUUCCAAGGCAACAAUUCCAAAACUAUAAACACCGUCCCUGACUGUCAAAUAACCAUGCAUUGCGUAUUCAGGAGCCAUAUAUCCACUACAUGGUUGGAACAUAUCAUUGAAAUAACUUUGAUAUAAGUAUACAAUAUGACAUCAACCUUUUAUAUUAUAAAAAUAUACAAUUUAAAUUGAAUUUAGUAACUUUUUGCAGUUAUUUAUAAUCAACUAGGAGAAGUCAAGAGUUAUAGUUUUCACUAAGUUCCGGCAAUUUUAGUACUAAUGUGAGUAUUGUCCUCCUCAUGAAGCUUGGCCAAACCAAUAUCAGAUAUCUUUGGGUUGAGAUCCCUAUUGAGUAAUACAUUGGUGGCCUUGAUGUCCCUGUGAACAACCUUCAGUCUUGAUUCUUCGUGGAGGUAUGCCAAACCUCUAGCAAUACCAACCUUUAUUUGUGAAUGUAAUAAGAUUCAGACAAUGAUAUAUAAAGUCAUGUGCUAAGUUUGAAUAUGUGAAAUAUUACAUUAAUAGCAACCUGAAUUAUAUCAUAUAGGAAAAAUUACCAAAUAAAGCACGAGCAAGGCUAUUGUUUUCCAAGUAUUCAUAUAUCAGCAACAAUUGAUCUCCCUCCACACAACAACCGUGGAGUCUAACAAGAUAAGGAUAUUGCAAAGCAUAAAUCAUUCCUAUCUCAUUUAAAAACUCACGGUUCCCUUGCUUUGAUUCAGCAGAAAGUUGCUUCACUGCUAUCAAUGUCCCAUUGGGUAAACAUCCCUGCAUUUUGAGGAAUGUUAUAUUCUGAAAAAUAUAUGUAAAGAUAUAGUAAAAGCAUGACACUCAAGAUACUUGGUUAUAUUAGUCAAAAAACCUUGUACACAGGACCAAAACCUCCUUCUCCAAUCUUAUUUGAGACAUCAAAGUUGUUUGUUGCUGCUUUGAUUUGUCUCAAUGUAAAUAAACCCGUUUGCAGGUCCAAACUCUUAAGCUCUGUUAAUUGAAGUAAAAGAAAGAACAAAGAUCUCUUAGACAAAUAAAAUUAAACACGGACAUUGUGCAUAUACAAUCCUUUUCAAGUAACAUUUCAACUUUCUUUUUAUCAUGACAAAACUAGUCUCAGGUUCCAUAGCACAUUAUACUGAUAAACAUACAUACUCAAACAUGCUCGGAUACACAACAUGAACAAGUUUAUUUUAAUCACUUAUGUAACACCCCUACUAGAAAUUUCCUAGGAUAUCUAGCAUGAGUGUUAAACUUGGCAAUGGAUACAUUAAAAUUACAACAAUAAAAAUUUUCUUUGAAUAGGAUACAGAAAAUUCUCGUCUUAUACCUUGGAAAUAACACUACUGGCGUGAACUUUGUAUGGUCCAUCAACUUCUGCUUCUUCAUCACGAACCAUGAUGUCGUAUAGUAACCUGAAUAUCUGAAAUAAAUAAAAGAGAUCGGGGUGAGACAUGAUGUUUCAGUGAGUUCCACCUAUCCUAGGUUGUAGGCAAUCUCAGGGAACCUAGGAUCGCCAUCUGUUCUAAUCUCAACCAUUUCAGGUUUAUACAGUCUUUAUCCUACAUAAUUGAACGAUCAGGGAUAACUAGGGUCACUACCUAGAAUACUAUCACGAUUCUAUCAUAAUGUCAUAUUCUUAUUCAUACACAUACUUAUAAUCAUAAUCAAAAUUCUGAACUUAAAGUUCAUGUCAUUAAUUAUAUAUUUCACUAUGUGCGUAUAGAUCAUAUUAUCUUUUUGUUGUAGCGACGGUAACAUUUUCACAUUUGUUACUAUGAGCCGUACCUCAUAGGCUACAUUAUCUCUUCGUUGUAGCAAACGGAGUUUUCACAUUUUUUACUAUGAGUCGUACCUCAUAGGCUACAUUAUCUCUUCGUUGUAGCAAACAGAGUUUUCAUAUAUUUUUUUACUAUGAGCAGUACCUCAUAGGCUACAUUAUCUCUUCGUUGUAGCAAACAGAGUUUUCACAUUUUUUUACUAUGAGCCAUACCUCAUAGGCUACAUUAUCUCUUCGUUGUAGCAAACGGAUUUUUCGCAUUUUUUUUUUCUCUGAGCAUGUUACUCAUUUCCAUUUUUUCUUUCAAAUAAUUUAUAUUAGUAUAUAUAUCAAUUGUCUUGCUUAGUGUUUUAAUGCUAGAACCAAUUCACGUGAUCAAUACUUUCACAACUUUCAUAUCAUAUACAAUUUCGUUCACAUUAUCAUGACUUUGCAUAACCAUUAAAACCUCGAUUGUAUUGAGUAAAAGUAAAUAGCACCAUUUCAAUGACAUGAUUCAAACUACCCAAAGGGAGAGUUAACUAACUAAGGAACUCACCUUGAAAUACUUUUGGAAAAACUUGCAAAGCAUCUGAUCAACAAUCUGCAGCUUUUGCGAUCUCCAAAACUCCAUAAUCACUUUUCCAAAACAACUUAUGCCCUAGCUUAUAGUUUCUACCCUUUUUGAAACAUCUCAACUCACUUGUGUUCCACUCUUACUUCAUCGACCAGCAUGUACAAAAAUUCUCAUUUCAGUCUCUGCACCAGAAGUUCACUGUUUGGCCACUUAAGCACUUUUGUCAUUAAUAAAACAGCUUAUCAUUUUACCGUUACUCAUAUACCAAUAUAAUAUACCUCCCCUAAGUUGGUCAUCACAAAACUAUACCUGAAACGGCUCAAAUUCCAACUUAAGCUUUUAUCCAAACAGCUUAAUUAAAACUUAUGGCUUCUAUCAAAUUAAGUUCGACCCAACCAUUAACACAACAAUUCCAAAAUGUAUAAUAAUCCCUAAGAAUCACUUUUACAGCAAAUUAAUCAACAGCUUAGUCAUUUAAGACAAAAUUCCCAUAACAGCUUAACUGACAGUUUAUGACCUCUAAACAAUUCCAUUUCAAUUCAAAUUUUCCAGAAUCAAAUAAAACAUGUAUACACAGCUCCUAAUCCAUUUCUACACCAAUCCUAACAAUAUUAAUUCCAAAAAUUAACUAUGAAAGCUUUUGGAACAACUUAUGACUUUUAGCCUCUAGCUUUUCUUUCCAAACAGCAACAACAAUACUAAGCUACUAACAGCCCUCACCUCAAUAUUCUUGCCAAGCCAAAACCCUAGCUCUUGUGUCUUGCAUUAAUCUUGCUCAAACUUGCCUCUAAUGCUCAAAACACAACAUAAAGCUUCAAAUUUUUGUACAUGAUUACCAACACACUUUAACCUCUUAAACCCAUGCUAUGAGUCUCUUGUAUGAACUUCUUAGGAAAGGAUAAGAGAAAGAUUGAGUUGUCUAAAGGUUCCAUUUCUACAAUAAUUCAAGAAAAACACUAAAACUUGAUGAUUACAUAAAGAAGUGAUGAUUUUUGGUGAACUAGGGAAGAAGAGGAAAAGGGACGUGAGGUAGGGAGAAGAAGAGGAAGAAAAAUAUCUGAUUUGGGUGAGAGAAUGGGGUAGAAAAGUGUGGAAACUUUAUUUUGGAUAUUUUGUCUUAUAUAUACCCCACUUAGGGGAAAUGACCAUUUUACCCCUUUUUGGUCUUCUUAACUUAAUUUAUCUGAUAAAAAAAAUACCGUCAAAACUUUAAGCGGCAUAUUUCAUUCCCCGUAAUCCGUUGUAAUCAUAUAAUUCGGUCAUGAAAAGUCUUACUUGCAAUUACUAUUUUGCUCUUCACUUGAAAGUUCCGAGGAUAAAAUAACUUGUAUCGAUAUCUGACUGAAUCUCACAUGCGGGAUAUUACAACUUAGAUAAUUGAUAUGUUAGAAAAAAGAUUGAUGAUAACGGCUAAAAAAUAAAUUAAUUUGCAUGCACCUCUUUCUAAUGAGUUUUUCUUUCCAAAACAUUCUUUCCACCAAAGUAUACCGAAUAUUAAAAUAAUAACAAUCGUUGCUGCAACCAAUAAUCCAACCACAGUUCCUGCAGAUAUAUAUGCUUGCAGGUGAAGAGUCUGCUUGAUUGUUUUACAAGACAUUUAAAAUAUUAGAUCAUAACAUAGAGAUCAUAGCAUAAGAUUAGGGAUGUACAACGCAUAACCCACCGGAUUUUACUGAUAUAGCUGAUAUAAGAGGACCAUAUACUGAUCUAUUUGGGGGAUAGUGUCCUUUUUCCAGCCCAAUGUAAGCGGAUCUCCAAGGUAUUACUAGUAACAACAACAUCUUUGAACUGUUUAAUGACUUUCUUACCAACUCCUCCAGCUGCUUCUGCAAUAUUAAAGUCCUUCUGCACUUGCAUUCCCUGCAACAUUUCAAUCAGAACCUUAAUGCUUCAUGAAUAUGACGACCUAUCAUUAUUUUAAUCUUUAUCCUUCAUUGAGUUUUAGAAAUUUUAGAAACCAUGUCAAACAAUGUUGUUAUAGGAAACUAGUGAUCACUUUGCUAUUGAAAGAAAAAGAAAAUUGUACCUGAAUAUAAAUAUCAAAUACACGCCUUCCAAGACUACUAUAAGUUUGAUCGUCUGUGAACAUUAUUUCAGCAAAAUGUAAAUUUACUGUAUAGCUUCCAUUUGCAAGGCAAAACCCAUAAUAAGUCAAAGAAACGCGUUCAUUCGUGUACAAUUCAGCAUCCACCAUAGUAAGUUUAGAGAUACUUUGUGAGGAAUAAGUGUCUCCAAGUUGAUCACUAUCUAGGAAUCUACCAGUGCUGCUAAAUGCCCAAUUUUCUGUUGGACUGACAUCGGAUCGAGCUGGUCUAGAUGAGUCUGAAUCACCAUAAUAACUUUUUCCGUUGACUAUCACUUGCUUUCCACCACAAUUUAUAUAAAGGGUGUAUGAGGCUGGGUUAAGCAGAUCAUGUCAGCAACUUUGGAAAUAAUAAGGAAAUUAUAAAAACAAUAAAGAAAAAUAAUUUCCUUGAAAUUUUAUUUUCAUAAACUUGUUAUCUCUCUCUCUCUCUAGCUAUUUUUUUUUUCCCACUGCAGAUGAAGAUAAAAGGAGGGAAUCAUGGGCGGUUGCAUAACUCUAGUCAAACAAAAGUCAUGAUUUCAUUAAUGUAGUGUACCCAAAGUAAAAAAAUAAGCAUCGUUGUCUGUCGUCCCCUCUCCUGUUGUAUCUAUGUUUUUAUUUUUUUAUUUUUAUAAAUAAAGUAAAAACAUCGUGAAAUCUUAGCUAUCUAUAGGAAAGUAAGCAUGAAGAAACUCACGUUUAGGACAUUCAAAUCUCAAACAUGAAACUCCUCUCUGAGAGAAUCAUCAAAGGAAUAGAACAAGUGCAUGAUUAGUAAAAUCAGAUUCAUCACAUGCUAGUGAAAUGGAAAGGAUAUCUAAAUUCAAACUUCAAUGUCUUGUUUUAGUAUUUAUAACACCAAACUUACAUGUCAUUGUGUGCCGAUGAAAUAGAAAACAAGUUCCUGUGCCAUAUUGGAGAAGUUGGUGUCUCAGGAAGAAUCAUGUGACAAACAAAUGCAAGGAAUCUUGCACUUUUUGAUCUUGACAUAUAUGACUCCCUUGGCUAAUGCUGAAGUUAUUGUAUGAAAGAUCUCUACACCCAAGUUAUAUACUUUGAUUUAGAAUAUGAUAAUAAUUCGACAAUUAGAGACUUAACGGAAGAUUUGGUCUACUUAAUUACUACCCAUCAUUAACUAAACAUUAUGCAAGAAAACACUAUACAACUAAAAAUACAUUUUUUAAAUAACAAGAGGGGGAAAAAGGUGGGAAAAAAUGAAAAUUUCAGUUAGAAAGUAAAAAAGAAAUGAUAUGUUUCCAGUAUUUUUGGCGCAUAAAUGAAGUAAUAUUUUCAAUCCAAUGAAUCAUACAGGUAUCUGCCUAUGAAUCUGGAAUAGCUGCUUGCAGAUGCAAUCUCCAUGGGCGUUUGACUCUGCACAAAGGAGAUACAGCGUUAACAACACAAGCCUUGAAGACGAAGCUUAACAAUCUUUGGCCCCAAUUACAAAAUUGGAGUUUGAUUCCCCUUGGUAAGGGUUUCUUUGAGCUUAAUUUCAAUUCAAUUGACGAUAUGAAGCAGAUUUGGGCCAUUGGUGUUGUUAACCUAAAACCUGGAUUCAUGCGGUUCUAUCGUUGGACAAAGGAUUUCACGCCCAAAGGACAUAGCAUUCAUGCUUGCUCCAAGAUAAAUGCUGCUACCAAUGUUCAAGUUACUAAGAGUAAUAAUGUGAACCAAAGAGCUCAAUCAAAAGCUGAUUUGGCCAAUAAGAAAAGUGCUAAAUUUCCUGUCAAUACAGUUGAUGCUAUAACUGUUAAUGCACAAGUACACCCUCACAUUGCAGCAAUUGGUAAUAAGUCUGCUAAGGUAUCUUCUCAUGAUGACAUUCAGGAGGCCCCUUUUGUUUCAACUGAUGAUUUUGAGGAAGGUGAAGUAUCAGCUCCUGAAAGCAAUGAAAUUGCAGUCCUCAACACUGAACUUCAUGCUAAUGAUCAGAGCCAGAAUAUUGGAGACAUGAAUCUCACACUUCACAACUCAUUUGAAUUGCUUGAAAGUGGUUCUAAGCAUGUCAUAGGGGAGGCUAAGCCAAAUGAUGAGGAAUCUAUUCCCAUAUUACUGGAUAUGCAAAUUGAUAAAAAUCCAAUUGUGGAAGACAAUUCCCUAGGGAAGGAGAAAUUGACUCAUAACACAAACUUAGAGAAUCCUGGUAAUUUGGUAAAAAGGAACUCUAAAAUUGCUGCUUUGAGUCCAAAUCCUCUUUUGGGCCCUGUUAAUGGGAGGCAAUCUUUCCCCAUUACAAGUCCCUCUUCCCUAGCUCAGAGUAGUAACAUUGGGAGGAUGUCAUUCCCCAAUGCUAUUGCUGUGUCAUUUGGUAAGGCUAGGGAUCCUUUUUAUGAUACUACCAUCACAUUGCAGCCCAUCACUACCCCUAUCACCACUCAUGAUGAGAUAUUAGGACAAGAUAAGAAAAAGGUGCUUUUCACUGUUGGCCCUAAAAAUCUUUCUGCUGCAUGUUUGAAAGAUGGUAUGAAUUUGAGUAAGUUUUGGGAGGAUGAGGACAACGAUGCUACUGAUAGCAUAUUGGACCCUGAAACUGACUUCGAAGCUCAUAACAACUCUCAUUCCCCAGAUGCAUCUAAACAUCUAGUUUCACCACAUGAAACUGUGAAGAAGAGUAAAAGAGGCAGACAUCAGAAGCAAUACACUAGUAGUGAGCUCAUACAAACGCGUUCCAAAAAGGGUGUGAUCAAAAGCAAUCCCAAAUAUAUGUGAUUGUCUUGUUGAAAGUUCCAUAUCUUGCAGUUGUUGUUCUUAUUUGGGUUCAUCUUCUGCUAUUCUAGAUGGUUGCUGAAUCUAUCUUAGUGGGAUAGAUUGUAUUCUUUUAAUACUUGAUUUUUUUUUUUUAUACUACUAGUUUUGCUGCUGGACUGGUUUGCUUUCUUUGAUUAGUUGUUCCUGUUAGUGUCAUAGCUAGUCUUACGUGGUAGCCAUUGUUGGAUGUGGUCUUUGUACCUCCAUUGGAAGGGGUGUUCUUUUUGUUGUCUUAGUUUGGAUUGUUUGAUUGUAUGUGGUUCAGGCAGCUCCUGAGUUUUAUAUUCCAUUUUAAGCUUGAUCAAAAAAAAAAAAAAAAGUAGUAUUAGAAAGAUAGCUCACACGUCUGAAUUCUUUCCCCAAGCAGGAGGAACUUGUCCAGUGAGAAGGUUUCCGGUCAAGAAUCUAUCAUAAAAGAAUAUCAAGGUAUUAGUAUGCAAAGCUUCAUGUUUAGGUUGAGUUUAAUCCUCAGGAACCAAGUAGGAUUAUUUAACUAUCCAGCAUAAUGAAAGUUCAAACUAAACCUAUAGGCGUAAAGAAGCCAACAAAUGUGAUUAAAAGUAUACCACCAAAAGAAACUGGGCUAAGUAACUACGAUGAAUUUCAUACAUGAAAUUUGCAUUGCUCAUGUCAGCAUAGUUACUCGGGAUUGUUCCUCUUAAUCUGUUAAAGCUGAGGUCUCUGAAAAAGAUAUCAUAUCACAUUGAGAUUGAGUUAAAAUUCUAGGGGGAAAAUUUGUCAUAGAAAAAAAUUCCUGUAAUUUGGAAAACUCGACACAAAAAUGCCAAUGGUUGUAAAACAAGUUAAACUUAACAAAAGAAACUUUGAUGGUUAGCUAUAGUAAAAAAAAAUGUAGCAAGUAUGAAUAUUACAUGUGUUUUAAUGUUUUAAUAGUCACAAGAUUUUCAGGUAGUGUACCGUUGAUUGCAAUUUCUCAAAAUCCAGCGAAACAAUAAGAUAGAUAACGAUAUAAAUUAGUGUCUUUCUUGCUUUAUUUAUUUUUUCAUUUGCGUACAUACUGUUUUUGGUUCUUUAACUCUUUUAUUGGGUUAAAUUGGAUCUCUAAUUCUAUAAUUUGAACCAAGUUGCUCUUUUCAAUUGCAAGAUCUAAAAACCCUUUUUCUGACGUAAAGAAAAAUCCAUAUCUUUUUGGUGUAAAUGGAGGGUUUGUGGUUCUUAAAAAAAUACAUUAACUUGCACCUCAUAAAAAGUGAAUUACAUCAACUUGCUUAUGGGAUUGGAAUUUAGAACUUAGUAAGUUGGAAUUAGGAAUCACAUUAACUUGUAUUUAUAGCAAAUACACUAUAAAUACAGUAUUGAGAAGUCUGAUUAGACACACAAAAAUUACAUAAAUUUACAAGGUAUGUGUAGUGGUUAGUUCCUAGAGGAGGUGGGUAUUGUCAUGGUAGGCGUUUUUCAUCAUGCUCUUCCUCUCACAUGACCUUAACGUCUUUCCAGUUAUGCUAUAACCAGCUGGCCCGUUUCCGGUGCGACUCAACACUGUACGCCACCACCUGCCUACGUGUAAUACAAGAGCGAGCAAGACAGACAUUUCCCCGCCGCCUAACGCAUCAAAACUUUCUUUGUGUGGGAGACCCAAGAGCCUUCCACCCCCAGCCACCAGUGCCAGUCAUUUGGUAAAUUUUUAGCAACUAUCCUCUUUUAGCCACAUCUUCCAUUUUCAGUUUUACUAUUGUACCGAUCCCUUGCAAAACAUUGGUAGGUUCUGCCAAUUAUAUAUGCAGGAGGAAGAGAACGUAGAAAUAGUCGAACCAGUUCUACCAUUGGUAGGUUCUGCCAAUUAACCGUUAUGCCAAUUAACCGUUGCUCUUUUCCAUUGCAAGAUCUAAAACCCCUUUUUCUGGCACUGGGUUCUACCAUUGGUAGGUUCUGCCAAUUAACCGUUAUGCCAUAUUAAGGCGCAAAACCGAACCAAAACCAAUCAGUUGCAGCCAAAGUAGUGAAUGUUGCUGAUAUAUUGAGGCUUUUGACACUGAAUAAUUUUUCCUUUCGACUACAGAGUAUAAUGAAAACCUCAAGCUCAAGGCACAAAAUCAAACCCCCAAACCAGUUGCUUGUGUUGUUCAUACCAGUAAUCUUGUUUCCUUAGUGUCACAUUCCACUUCACUUGGACCUUAAAGCCUUUACUCUGGCGCCUUUGAUCAUAUAUUUGGUAACAAAUUGCUUUUCUCUCAUCUCACUUACAUGUAAACGCUCCCUAGUAUGACUUUGGCAAAUGGAGCACAAACCAAAUGUGAAGGCAUUAGUCGAACUAGUCUCUUACCCACACUUAAUUUGAACUCAGUACUUUACGAUUGGAAUUUCCAUUUAGUUUAAUAUCCAUAAGUAAACUCGCUCAUAUCCUACAUGACUUUAUUACCUUUGCACUUCAAAUGCUAAAUGAGAUGACUGCUUUGCACUCCAAUGGUACUUAUGGUACUUGGGAUUUGGCAGCGUUACCUGAUGGAAAAACCACAAUAGGUUGUCGUCGGGUCAAUACAGUUAAUGUAGGGCCUGAUGGAAAUAUUGACGCGUAAAAUCACGCCUUACGGAAAAAGGACACACACAGAUCUUUGGCCUUGAAUAUGGGGGCACUUUUUCUCCAGUUGCCAAGAUUGCAUCCAUUCACUUAUUUCUUGCCAUAUAGUCGAUAUUAAUCGAUGGCCUCUCCAUCAAUUAGACAUCAUAAAUUCCCUUUCAUGGUGAGUUAUAAGAGGAGGUGUGUAUAUGGCACAACCGUCUGGUUUUACUGUUAGUGGUUCCUCUCAGUUGGUCUCUCGGCUGCGUUUAUAUCUAUAUGGCUUUACACAAUCUCCAUGUGCUUGGUUUGGGAAAUUUAGCACUAUGUUCCAAGUGUAUGGCAUGAGCAGAUGUGAAACUGAUUAUUCUAUCUUCUGGAAUUCUUCAGCGACCACCUGCCUCUAUUUUCUUGUCUAUGUCAAUGACAUCAUUAUCAAAGGGUAAUGAUCAGGUUGCCCUUCAUCGGCUCAAACAAGAUUUAUAUCUUCACUUUCAAACUAAAUAUUUGGGGCCCCUAAAUAUUUACAGUGACAAGGCAUGAUGAUAUUACAUUUGUUGUCAGCUUAGUAAGCCAAUUUAUGUCAGCUUAGAAUAGGCCAAUUUCUGUCAGCUUAGAAAAUUUCUAAACUUCGGUGUUACGCUGUAGAAAUUUUCUGAAUCCUCCAUGUGAAGUCAUUAGAAUGUUUUGAUUCACAUUCUUAGGUAUAUCAUGAGUACAUUAGGUAGAGGAUUACUUUAUGAAGGCAGGGGUAACACUGAAGUUGUUGGCCACUUUGAUGCUGAUUGGACAGGUUCACCAUCAGAAUAGACGAUGUAACUUCUGGAUAUUCUGUCCUUGAUAGAGGUAGAUUGAUAUCAUCGCGGAGCAAGAAGCAAUACAUAGUUUCAACUUCGAGUGCAGAAUCAGAGUAUCUUGCUAUGGUAGCAACAUCUUGUGAACUUACAUGGCUAAGACAAUUACUCUAGGCUCUUGCAACUAAAGUUAAGAGAUAUCAAGGCAAUGAAACUAAUUUCUGAUAACCUGGCUGCACUUCAUAUUGCUUCCAAUCCAGUACUCCAUGAGAGAAGGAAGAACGUAGACAUUGACUGCCACUUUUUAAGAGACAAGGUUUGUUCACGAGAAAUUGUAAUUGAUUUUAUUUGUUCAACUAGCCGAUAUAUUUACUAAGUCUCUUAGAGGAUCUCGGGUUGAACCUAUUUGUAACAAGCUUGGUGCAUAUGAUAUGUAUGCUCCAUCUUGAGGGGGAGUGAUAAAAUUAAUCACAUAAAAAAUAUGUUCUUAUAAUUAGUUUCAAAGAAUUAGAAACUUGAUGAAUUGGAAUUAGGAAUUACAUUAACUUGUAUUUAAGCCUUUUAUUUACUGUUUCUUAAAGAGGUAGAGAAAUCAACUCGCAGUCUAUUUAACAAUGUCAUGUUGUUAAGUUGUGGCAAAGGUGCAUACUCAGAUCCAUUCAAAUCACUGAUUCUCCUGAAUAUCACAUUUGAUUUAAAGCUAAGUAAACAUAAUUAAAAUGAAAGUUAAACUCCAACCCUUGUUUCAUCAGUGUAUAAAAUAUCAUACAUACAAGUCAAUUAAGUUUCUCAAAAGUGAAAUUUCAGAAGGAAUCGGCCCAAUUAAUCCACUCCCUUGAAUGGUUCUGUCAAAAGUAAAGUUAUCAUUGGUAAUUAUUUUUACAAAGUCAAGCAAUUUGAAAAACAAUUAAAUUUGAAGAAAGAUGAACAUGAAAAAUUAAGGAGUACAUACAGUGUGUUGAUAUUUGUCCAGUUUUGAAUAAACUUAGGUAUCUUUCCAAGCAACUGGUUGUCUGAAAUUCGGCUGCAUUGAGAGAGGACAUGGAAAUUUGAAGCAUCAUAAAAUUUAUUUUUUUAUUUUCUAAUCAGUAAAUAUCAAAUUUGAUGCUUACAAAUCUCGCAAUGUAGUGACCUUGGACAAUGUUGUAGGUAGUUCUCUAGUAAAAUUGUUAGAGGACAUUUUCCUAUAUAUAAUUGAAAAACAAAACAGUAAAUUAUGAUUCUAAGCCAUAGAAAUCAAGCUGGUCUUUAAACACAGGGCUUUAAUAUAUAUGAAGGGAGAACAUCAAUCGGGGGAGUACUUACAGUGUUCGAUAAAGUUAAGUUCUACUAAAAUUAUUUGUAUUGAACAUAUACAUGUUUAUGGACUAGUGAAAUUAAUUAAUUUUUUCGCUAAGUAGGCUAAUGAGUAACUCACAAAUGCAUCAGAGUAGAUAUAUUUGCAAUCUCCGCUGGUACUGAACCCCGUUAAUCGAUUUCCAGAGAGAGUACUAUGAUGAUUAAGAAACAUUUUCUUAUUAGUUUAUUAUUCUAUGUAAUUACAACAGUUAAUUAAGGCAACGUCUUAUAAAGAGUGAAAAUAAGAAUAUUCAAUGAUUAAAAACCAAAAAGCAAAACAUAGCCUUAUUAUAUGAGUGCCGGAUUUGAAAUGAUGCAAUAUAUACAAGACUAUCAAGACAAGAUUAUAAGAAUAACGUGGGUACAUAAAUUUUGACACACAUUCAAAAUCAUCUAAUCAAAAUAAGAAGGACACUCUAACAGUAGAUUGUCGCAUUGAUGAUGAGAGAUAGAUUUAAAGGAGGAAACUGACAUAGAAAGACUCAGAAAAAGCAUAUAUAUAUAUAUAGAUGUAGAUGUAGACCCCAUUCCCAGCUAGGAAUUUUGAGAAACACACAAACGACAUAACAAAUUAUUGUUCAAAAACAGUAAACGUGUUAAUUAUGGUUUCUUUUACUCUGAAAUGUCUUCCGUAUAAUUAAUGUUCUUCGUAGAAGUUGUAUCUGUAUUCAAUAUGUGUAUUUUUUUUAGUGUAAACUCUAUUAAUUACGGCUAUUCAUCUCUUGAGUUUUUUGGGACAUGAAUGCGCAGCAAAUUUUUCUUCAGAGUUUUAAGUUGUGGUAUGUUUAAAGUUGGAUUCAAAUCAGACUUUACUUAAGAUAAGAGAGAUAUGUGUCGUCUUUAUAUAAACGCUCCUGCCUAUACUCAAUAUGUAUAUAUUUACAUUCCAAAUUUCAGCAAUUUUUUUUUUUGGCUAAAAUAUGGUUCUAGUCCCUGCAAAUAUGCAUCGUUUUAGUUUUAGUCCCUGUAAAAUAAAAAUUUCGUUUUUGGUCCCUGGAGGGACUAUUUUCAAAAACAAAAAAAUUUGCUGGGACCUUUUUAAAAAACAAAAUAUUGUGCAGGGACCAAAAACUACAAAAUGGGCCAGUCAUCAUGUGCCACGUAUGCAAAUCAUCACAAAAAUGGGGUCAGCGACUAUUUUAAAAAACAAAAAAUUUUGCAGGGACCAAAAACAAAAAUUUUAUUUUACAGGGACUAAAACUAAAACGAGGCAUAUUUGCAAGGACUAAAACUAUAUUUUAGCCUUUUUUUGGUCUAUUAAAGAGUUUUUUUCUUUUUUCUUUUUUCUGAAUCAAAAGUAAAGGAAGACAUCAGGAGAUAGCUUGACAUCCCAACUAUGUUGGAAGCCCAAGGCUACCCCAUCCUCUACCACCUUGCUUAAAAAAGAGAAAAUUGUACAAGAGGGGACCAAACCAAAACCCUCGGAAAAAACAUACUAUAAAAAUCCAAAAUACAAAGCAAGAGACCUAAGGAAAACGGAAACUAGGAAGUCCGUAUUUGACUCUAAAAGUUAUCUCUAAUAAAUGUGCGGAGAGAGUCUCACCAAAUAACAUCAGCCAAGUCGUAACCAUAAUUUGCUAACUUAUCCGCACAACAAUUUCCUUCGCGAAAAAUAUGAGAUGAAAUGAUGGAAAUGCCUCCAUGCGUACAAUUAUGUGUUGUUUUUGGAUUUCCAAAAUGUUGUAAUUGAAUUUCCAAAUUCUAUUAUCUACCGAAGUUGUUACUAGGUUGAGUCACGACCAGGUCGCUCUCUUUAAGACGUUUCAUGCCACUGCCCAAAAUUGUGCAAGGCAGACUAUCAACCACGCCACCUCCAGGAUAAAACAAGCCCAACUACAACUGUGCGAUUAACUACUGCACUUAGAAAACCGUUCGAGAAUUACACCCUCAAAUAUGGUACUAAGACCACUAUUUAAUACUGAAACCACUUUAAUAUGGUAUUGUUACCACUCUAUUAUGGUGUUGCCACCGUUCUACAACCACUCAAAUAUGGUGUUGUCACCAUUCUAACUUUAAUUUCUCCAAAACAUCAAUAUGGCACUACGACCACUCAAAUAUGGUGAUACCACCAUUUCUCCUCAAAUAGAAACAUAUUGAAAUACUUUUUAUAUAUACCAUUAAGAUCAUUCUUAAUUCUGACGGGACAUUGUUAUUCCAAAUAGGGACUAUGAUCUUAAAAGUACUUUUUAUUUCGAAGGGACAUAUAUUAUCGAAGGAACUAUGUUUUAAGACCAUUCUUAAUUCCGAAGGGACAUUGAACCGAAACAGGGACUAUGGUCUUAAGAACACUCUUAAUUUCGAAGGGACAAAAAAAGGAGAUGAAGAGAAGAAAGACUUGUCAACACAAGUCAAAAAAGGGAGAAGAGAGAAAGAGUUCCCGACAACUCAAUGAAACUCUUUGGUGUGAUUUUUGAACUAGGUGAGCUCUCCUUUUAUAGGGAGAGUUUGUAACUAAUUUGGAGAAACUUAAGAAUUAAGUAAACUUAAAAAUUAAGCAACCCAUAUUAGCUCAAGUAACAAACUAAUCGGAUAAGUUCAAAAAGAAACAAAUGUUGGAACAAAAUGUGUUUAACAUCAAACCUUAAGAGUUUUGAUGAUAACAAAGUAUUAAAAAUUGUCAAUUGGAUAUGCUAAUAUUUGUUCAAGCGUACAUGACUAUAGACAAAACUUGAUAUCUUAAAAAGGUCCUGGAAGAACAAUAAAGAGCAAAGGCAUCAACAAAAAGAGAAGCUUAACGCGCCUGAAGAAAACUGCUCCUGAAGUUAAAGCGCUCCUGAUGACGUCAUCAUAAGCAAGUUCAUCAUAAGCUAGUUCAUCAGAAGCAAGUUUAUCAGAAGCUGUGAAUCACCAGAAGCUGCAGUUCAUCAGGAGAUGCAACUUAAAGUUUCAAAAAGUUGUUCAACGGAUUCAAACUCGCCUAAAGAUUGCAGAAGACUAGAGAAGUGAAGCAACGACUAUUUUGGAGGGUUUUGAAAGCAUUGGAUGCUUGUUCUUCAAAGAGCGUUGACAAAGUAUGUUCGAACGAAGUGUACAACCACUACCUCCACUACUCUGUUUUGUCUCUGCUACAAGACAAGAAAAACAGCUAUGCCUGCAACAAUGUUCCUACACAUUGGGAACACGUUUGAAAUUGAUCCUUCAUAGGACAAUAACCAAAUCAGGCAAAGGAUCAUUAGUGAUUGAUCAAAAGUUUCAAACGACUCUAUUUUGAAUGUGCUGGCAAUUCAACGUCUCUCACACACUUCUAUUUAAAGGAGUUAAGACUCAGAGUUCCGAGAACAAUACCAAGAAUUAAAAGCGCCAAAACUCUGCUGAAAUUGUUUUGCAUUCAAGGUUCACUUAGAAUUUCUUAUCAAAGCUCAUAUCUUAGAAAUUCUAGACUCUUUAGAGUCUGUAUCUGAAUUGUAUUGUGAACACCACUGAUUGUAUAUCAAGUGUUCAAACUCAAACAUAAUCUUUGUAAUUCUGUUUUAAUUGAGAAGUCUCUUGCAGUUGUGCUUGAGCAAUAGAAGUCUCUUGAUUGUGUUUAGGAGCAUAGGAAGUCUCUUGCAGUUGUGAUUGAGCAUUUGAAGUCUCGUACUAAGUUUAGUAUUGAACAAUUGUAAUCAGAUAUUAUUUUUAGUGAACUUCUCUUGGAAGUGCAAGGGGGAUAGGACUGACUUCCCGUUUGUGGAAGGAACCUGUAUAAAUUGCUUUGUGUCUUUCUUUCUUCUCUCUCUCUCUCUCUCUGUUUUUAUCCGCUGCAAUUAGUUCUGAACAUCACUUAUGAAGUAAAACUUUAUCUGCUUCUAAACAGUGUUUUCAGAUAGGAGAAAAAGAAGAAAAAACAAACACAAUUCAACCCCCCUUCUUGUGUUUUUCUCACCUUCAACAAACCCACAAGAUUAGAUGAAACAAACUAAUGAAAGAAAGAUAAGAAAUUCAGUUGGAUUCUCAAUCUUAUCACAACAAACAUAACCUAAAAUUGUGAGAAGUGAUAUCCAUGAAUAAAGAAUAAUAAUAAUAAUAAUUUUCAUCAUUAUCAUGUAUUUAAAAUUAAAUACCACUAUUUAAACACUACUAACGUGUUUGUUCUAUUUUACGUGGGACCUCCACACUCUAUUUUUUCAAUUCACACAACACUAGAUCAAAGUUUAAUAACUUGGUGUUUAAUCUUCCAACCUUCCAAUUUCUUUCCAUCUUCACACCAAUGUUCCAACACAUGUUUCGAAGAGAAAAUGGAACUAACGAAGGGUUCCCGAAAGCCUGCAAAGCACUCCAGGAGUCCCCUCCACCCUAAGAUGCCGCCAAUGGUACUUAAUGGAAAAUUCCAGAGCCAACACAAAUCCAAAUAACUAGACCUCUCAAAAACCGAAUUUUGACCCAAGUUGCAAGAAAAACAACCCAAAAAAAUCCUCGAUAUUCAUGAAAAAUACUACCACAAGCAGCUAAGCCAUACAACUGAACCAACCUUAUUUACCUUAACAAAAGGCAAAGUGGGAGCUUUUCAAACGACAAUAAUAAUAGCAGCAACAAUGGUAUGAAUAGAGUAAACAACAGCCGAAAAUAUCAUGAAUUUGAGAACAGCAUGUAAGACCCGUAAUUUUGAUGCGACUAAAUUUAGGGCUUUGUAUUUGUUUUGAUGUUUUUUUUUUUGUUAAUAAAUGAGUUUAUGAAAUGUCUUGACGUUGUCGGAAUUCCAAAAUUUGUUUUCUAUUGAUUUUGAGAAAACAUGUUGGAAGUAUUUGUUGUUUAAAUUUUGAAUGGACCAAGAGCGUCAUGAAAAUUUAAACAAGAGUUUUACACAUUGCUCGUAUGGGUAGAUGAUCUCAUUAUAUUUCUCCAAAUUUUUGAAACAAGAUUUUUGUUGGAAAGUUAUUUUGAUUUCAAAACCAUUACUUGAAAUGAGAAACUCGUUGAGCAAUUUAACUACGUGAGAUCUAGAAUUGAUUCACAUAUGCCGUUUGCUACUCUGUGUGACUGAUUUUGACAUUCAGAAUGUUUGUUAGGCAUGAAAAUGUAAUAUCCCGCAUGUGAGAUUAAGUCACAUAUCGAUACAAGUUAUUUUAUCCUUGGAACUUUCAUGAUCGAAUUAUAUGAUUACAACGGAUUACGGAGAAUGAAAUAUGCCGCUUAAAGUUUUUACAGUAUUUUUUUUAUCAGAUAAAUUAAGUUAAGAAGACCUAGAAGGGGUAAAAUGGUCAUUUCCCAUAAGUGGGGUAUAUAUAAGACAAAAUAUCCAAAAAAGUUUCCACACUUUUCUACCACAUUCUCUCACCCAAAAUCAGAUUUUUCUUCCUCCUUCUCCUAACAUCACGCUAUCUCCCUCUUUCUCAUGCUAUCCACCAAAAAUCAGCACUUCACCAUGGAAUCAUCAUGCUUAUGUGUUUUGCUUGAGUUAUGGAAGAAGUAGAACCUCUAAACAACUUGUUCUCUCAUUCUUCCUCUCCUAAGAAGUUCAUUCAAGUGAUCCUAGCAUGGUUUGAAGAAGUUAGAGCUAAGAUGGUGAUCAUGUAAAGAGAAUUGAAGUUUGUGUUGUAUUUUGAGCUAGAGGCAAGCUUGAGCAAGAUUAAGGCAAGACACCAAGAGCUAGGGUUUGGCUUGGCAAGAAGAUAGAGGCAGGGGCUGAAUGUUGAAACUGAAUGUAAGUAUAAGUGAUUAAUAGCUUAAAUUGAGGUAAAAGUGAUUAUUUUGAGAAGAAAUUUAAGUUAUGUUGAUUCAUUAGAAGUAUAAGCUGUUAUUUCAUUUGGCAUUCUGUGAUGACUCUGUUUUUGGGCUGUUAGUAGUAUCAAUUUUGCUGUUGUUGCUGUUCGGAAUGAAAAGCUAGCAGUUAAAAGUCAUAAGUUGUUCCAAAAGCUAUCAGAAUUGAUUAUUGAGUUAAAACAAGUUAGAAUUUCAAUAUAAGUGUCUUAGGAGAUGUGUAAACAUGUUUGCUUUGAUUCUGGAAAAUUUGAAUUGAAAUGGAAUUGUUUAAAGGUCAUAAGCUGUCAGUUAAGCUGUUGAUUAAGUUGCUGUAACAGUGGUUCAUAGAGAUGAUUAUACAUGUUGGAACUGUUUUGUUGAAGGUUGGGUCGAAAUUGAUAUGACAAAAGUCAUAAGUUGCUAUUUAAUUCGUUUGGAUAAUAGCUUAAAUUAGAAUUUAAGUUGUUUCAGGUAUUAUCUUGUGAAGACCAGCUUAGGAGAGAUAUGUUGAAUUGGUAUAUGAGUAAUGGAAAUAUUAUAAGCUGUUCUAGUAAUGGUAAUUAAGCUGUUUUAGAAGUACUGAAUUCUGGUGCAGGGACUGAAAUGGGAAUUUUUCUAUAUGCUGAUCGAUGAAAUAGGAGUAUGUCACAAGUGGCACUACUACACAUAUGUGUUUUAGUAACAUUCAUCUUGCAACACUUGUUUAAUAGUUACUAAUAUAGAGAUUUUUCUUAACAUUUUUUAGUAAGUGUUACAUUAGUGUCACUCUUUUUCGGUGGUGUUUAUAUCAAAACACAUUCAUAUUCUACUGAAACAAAAAAAACAAAAAACAUUUCAACUCUUUUAACACACACUCUCUCUCUCUCUCUCUCGUCUUCGAGCUAACCAGAAGCAAACGUUCGAACAUGGCCUCAAAGCUAAAUGUGCGAUUACAAUCACAGGUGAAUUCACAAUUCUUCAAUUCCAAAUUCAAUUUCAUCUUCGAUUUCGAAAUUGAUUUUCAACUUCGAUUUCGUAUUUCAUUCAUCUUCGAUUUUAUUUGAAUUCGUCUUUGAUUCUGUAUACGAAUUCAUCUUUCUGUAUUCAAUUUCAUCUUCCAUUUCGUAUUUGAUUUCAUCUUCGAUUAUGUAUUUGUUUUCAUUUUUGGUUUUGCAUCUCCUUGCUUAUUUUUCUUUCACUUUGGUUUUACACGUUGAAAAGAUGGUUGAGAUGAAGUGUGAGUUUUGUAUUGUGUUGGUUUUUGUUUUGAUUUUGCUUUUGUUGUGCUUCAUGGUAGAAUGCUUGUUUUGUGUUUGAUAAAAUGCUGCAACCAAACUUUAUGACACAAUGCCUGUUUUCUGUUUGAUAAAAUGCUUCAAUCAACCUUUAUGGUACAGUGCUUAAUGUUUGUCUGAUAAAAUGCUUGAACCAAAUUUUAUUUACUUCUCUAAUCUCAGAAAUGUGAUUCUCCUGCAUCUAUGCUCUUAAAAAUGUUUUUCGAUUCUGCAAAAUGAACAGAAUUGUUUGUUCGGAAUGCGAUUAUGUGUAAAUUUUAGAUUCGAUCUUAACUAAAAUGUUGGAAACUUAGGAUUGAAGAAAUGGAUAUUAGUUCCUCAAUGAUACAGAAGUCGGUCUGUUUCCCGUCACGCACAACCAAACUAUUGCUGCUUUAGCUCCGACAGUGGGUGGCUAUCAGAGCUAUUAGAAACCUGUAAUAGUGCAAAAGUUCACUUGGCAAUGUAUGUGUUUAGUUGUUUGGCUGAUUUAUGUGUGUAUAAGCUUCCCAUUGCAUAGGAGAAAUGUAACUUUUCAUGUUUGAAGCAAUAUAAAAACUACAAGGAAUCUCCACCUUCAGAUUCAUAGGACAAAAGUUCACUACUGGAUGUAGUUGUUGAAAUUUUAUUAACUUUGAUCUUUAUGGUUCCUCACCACUAGAAAUUUUGGUGUUAGGUUAUCAUGACGAUCUGUAUCAUACCUAACGAACACGUGGACCUGUAGCAAAUAUAUGAGGCAUAUUUGGGUUAUUCUGUAUUACAAAAUGCCAAAAGCUUGUACAAAACUUGCAAAAAGAAAUAAAGAAAAGUCAAAUAUCUUCCCAUUAUUACUAUUUUUUUUUUUUUGUCUAAAUCUGUUAUGUCUUUUGUAGGUUCCAUGUUAAUAAGAUGUCUUCAGCCCAUGUUUAUGCCGGGCUGCUCAUAGGUCACUAUCGAUGACAUGAGUGAAGGUUUAUUGGAAGAUUGUGCUAAACUUGUCAAAGAAAAUUCAAUUCAAGGUAAAAUAUCGCGAUUAAUUAUUCCUAGAUUAGGAUACUGCUACUAGAGUUAUUGUCGAGGGUCUGUGGCCGGAUCAGACAAUUGUUUUCUAUCAGCAAUGUAACAUGUGGUUUACAUUUCAAGAGAUUUAUUUGAUCAAUUGUUGUUUCUCAGGAGUACAAAGGAAACAAAUAAAUAUAAAAUAAUUUGAGAGAGGUGCUAUAUGUCACGAAUACACUUCCUCACUAAUUUCACAAACUCUCUAUUUUUCUAUUUUUUAUUUUUAUACCUGAAAAUAUUUUGAAAAAUAGAACUGCUAGGGCGUAGUAUGUAUCGAUCAUCACGCAACCUCAGCUGCAUAUAUUAAAGAUCCUUAGUGUGUGUCUGCCAAAAAAUAUCACAGUUCAUGAAAACUUGGAUCCAAUGCUAUGAAGUUUGAAUUGUGAAUUUAUAAUGUUUUUUGUUUUCAGAUUUACUUCUAUGAGAAAUUACUUUUGUUUUCUUUCUGAACGUAAUUGUAUAUAUGCUCAUCAUGUUAUGUGAGCAUGACAAAUGAAUAAGUUAUUAAGCUAUUGAUUGUGGAGUGCAUUGCAUUGCUUGUCGUCGCUUUGCCAUGACUUAUAUUACUUGAACAAAUUCUUAUGUCCUACUUAUUGAAGUUCUCUUUGGUAGCAUGGGUUUUGCAUAUUUGUUGCAUACUUUUCUUUGUAGUUACUUUUCUGAAUAUAUAAAAUCAAUAAAAUCUCUGUAAAACAUCUUUAUUUAUCUGUUUUAGUAUUUUUCCCUCAUCUUUAUUUAUAUGCUGCAUUGUGGUUGUAAUGCAUUUGUUUUUCUUCUGAUAUACUGGUUUUGAUUUUGAAGUCCACCGAUGUUUGAACUAUGUUGAAUACAUUGAUUAAGAGUAUAUUUAGAACUAAUUAAGGAAGAAGUUAUAUGAGCGAUUGAGCCUUAUUCUUACAACCCUGUAGGUUUAGUUUCCCUUAGAAAGUUAUUUAUUUUGGUAGGUUAGCUGAAUGGAGGAGUUAAUACUACAAUUAACCGUGUACAAAUAUUUUGUGGUUUAUUUUAGGUUUAGUUUUUAAUAAGAUAUUAAGCAGCGGACGGAAUAAUUUCCUCAUGAGUAUAUCUUCCCCACAGAGCAAAGCAUAGCACAUCAAGAGAAAAAAAGGCAGGGACAAGGUAAAAUUUGCUAGGUCAAUAACAAAAUGGUUUNCUCAAUGAAACUCUUUGGUGUGAUUUUUGAACUAGGUGAGCUCUCCUUUUAUAGGGAGAGUUUGUAACUAAUUUGGAGAAACUUAAGAAUUAAGUAAACUUAAAAAUUAAGCAACCCAUAUUAGCUCAAGUAACAAACUAAUCGGAUAAGUUCAAAAAGAAACAAAUGUUGGAACAAAAUGUGUUUAACAUCAAACCUUAAGAGUUUUGAUGAUAACAAAGUAUUAAAAAUUGUCAAUUGGAUAUGCUAAUAUUUGUUCAAGCGUACAUGACUAUAGACAAAACUUGAUAUCUUAAAAAGGUCCUGGAAGAACAAUAAAGAGCAAAGGCAUCAACAAAAAGAGAAGCUUAACGCGCCUGAAGAAAACUGCUCCUGAAGUUAAAGCGCUCCUGAUGACGUCAUCAUAAGCAAGUUCAUCAUAAGCUAGUUCAUCAGAAGCAAGUUUAUCAGAAGCUGUGAAUCACCAGAAGCUGCAGUUCAUCAGGAGAUGCAACUUAAAGUUUCAAAAAGUUGUUCAACGGAUUCAAACUCGCCUAAAGAUUGCAGAAGACUAGAGAAGUGAAGCAACGACUAUUUUGGAGGGUUUUGAAAGCAUUGGAUGCUUGUUCUUCAAAGAGCGUUGACAAAGUAUGUUCGAACGAAGUGUACAACCACUACCUCCACUACUCUGUUUUGUCUCUGCUACAAGACAAGAAAAACAGCUAUGCCUGCAACAAUGUUCCUACACAUUGGGAACACGUUUGAAAUUGAUCCUUCAUAGGACAAUAACCAAAUCAGGCAAAGGAUCAUUAGUGAUUGAUCAAAAGUUUCAAACGACUCUAUUUUGAAUGUGCUGGCAAUUCAACGUCUCUCACACACUUCUAUUUAAAGGAGUUAAGACUCAGAGUUCCGAGAACAAUACCAAGAAUUAAAAGCGCCAAAACUCUGCUGAAAUUGUUUUGCAUUCAAGGUUCACUUAGAAUUUCUUAUCAAAGCUCAUAUCUUAGAAAUUCUAGACUCUUUAGAGUCUGUAUCUGAAUUGUAUUGUGAACACCACUGAUUGUAUAUCAAGUGUUCAAACUCAAACAUAAUCUUUGUAAUUCUGUUUUAAUUGAGAAGUCUCUUGCAGUUGUGCUUGAGCAAUAGAAGUCUCUUGAUUGUGUUUAGGAGCAUAGGAAGUCUCUUGCAGUUGUGAUUGAGCAUUUGAAGUCUCGUACUAAGUUUAGUAUUGAACAAUUGUAAUCAGAUAUUAUUUUUAGUGAACUUCUCUUGGAAGUGCAAGGGGGAUAGGACUGACUUCCCGUUUGUGGAAGGAACCUGUAUAAAUUGCUUUGUGUCUUUCUUUCUUCUCUCUCUCUCUCUCUCUGUUUUUAUCCGCUGCAAUUAGUUCUGAACAUCACUUAUGAAGUAAAACUUUAUCUGCUUCUAAACAGUGUUUUCAGAUAGGAGAAAAAGAAGAAAAAACAAACACAAUUCAACCCCCCUUCUUGUGUUUUUCUCACCUUCAACAAACCCACAAGAUUAGAUGAAACAAACUAAUGAAAGAAAGAUAAGAAAUUCAGUUGGAUUCUCAAUCUUAUCACAACAAACAUAACCUAAAAUUGUGAGAAGUGAUAUCCAUGAAUAAAGAAUAAUAAUAAUAAUAAUUUUCAUCAUUAUCAUGUAUUUAAAAUUAAAUACCACUAUUUAAACACUACUAACGUGUUUGUUCUAUUUUACGUGGGACCUCCACACUCUAUUUUUUCAAUUCACACAACACUAGAUCAAAGUUUAAUAACUUGGUGUUUAAUCUUCCAACCUUCCAAUUUCUUUCCAUCUUCACACCAAUGUUCCAACACAUGUUUCGAAGAGAAAAUGGAACUAACGAAGGGUUCCCGAAAGCCUGCAAAGCACUCCAGGAGUCCCCUCCACCCUAAGAUGCCGCCAAUGGUACUUAAUGGAAAAUUCCAGAGCCAACACAAAUCCAAAUAACUAGACCUCUCAAAAACCGAAUUUUGACCCAAGUUGCAAGAAAAACAACCCAAAAAAAUCCUCGAUAUUCAUGAAAAAUACUACCACAAGCAGCUAAGCCAUACAACUGAACCAACCUUAUUUACCUUAACAAAAGGCAAAGUGGGAGCUUUUCAAACGACAAUAAUAAUAGCAGCAACAAUGGUAUGAAUAGAGUAAACAACAGCCGAAAAUAUCAUGAAUUUGAGAACAGCAUGUAAGACCCGUAAUUUUGAUGCGACUAAAUUUAGGGCUUUGUAUUUGUUUUGAUGUUUUUUUUUUUGUUAAUAAAUGAGUUUAUGAAAUGUCUUGACGUUGUCGGAAUUCCAAAAUUUGUUUUCUAUUGAUUUUGAGAAAACAUGUUGGAAGUAUUUGUUGUUUAAAUUUUGAAUGGACCAAGAGCGUCAUGAAAAUUUAAACAAGAGUUUUACACAUUGCUCGUAUGGGUAGAUGAUCUCAUUAUAUUUCUCCAAAUUUUUGAAACAAGAUUUUUGUUGGAAAGUUAUUUUGAUUUCAAAACCAUUACUUGAAAUGAGAAACUCGUUGAGCAAUUUAACUACGUGAGAUCUAGAAUUGAUUCACAUAUGCCGUUUGCUACUCUGUGUGACUGAUUUUGACAUUCAGAAUGUUUGUUAGGCAUGAAAAUGUAAUAUCCCGCAUGUGAGAUUAAGUCACAUAUCGAUACAAGUUAUUUUAUCCUUGGAACUUUCAUGAUCGAAUUAUAUGAUUACAACGGAUUACGGAGAAUGAAAUAUGCCGCUUAAAGUUUUUACAGUAUUUUUUUUAUCAGAUAAAUUAAGUUAAGAAGACCUAGAAGGGGUAAAAUGGUCAUUUCCCAUAAGUGGGGUAUAUAUAAGACAAAAUAUCCAAAAAAGUUUCCACACUUUUCUACCACAUUCUCUCACCCAAAAUCAGAUUUUUCUUCCUCCUUCUCCUAACAUCACGCUAUCUCCCUCUUUCUCAUGCUAUCCACCAAAAAUCAGCACUUCACCAUGGAAUCAUCAUGCUUAUGUGUUUUGCUUGAGUUAUGGAAGAAGUAGAACCUCUAAACAACUUGUUCUCUCAUUCUUCCUCUCCUAAGAAGUUCAUUCAAGUGAUCCUAGCAUGGUUUGAAGAAGUUAGAGCUAAGAUGGUGAUCAUGUAAAGAGAAUUGAAGUUUGUGUUGUAUUUUGAGCUAGAGGCAAGCUUGAGCAAGAUUAAGGCAAGACACCAAGAGCUAGGGUUUGGCUUGGCAAGAAGAUAGAGGCAGGGGCUGAAUGUUGAAACUGAAUGUAAGUAUAAGUGAUUAAUAGCUUAAAUUGAGGUAAAAGUGAUUAUUUUGAGAAGAAAUUUAAGUUAUGUUGAUUCAUUAGAAGUAUAAGCUGUUAUUUCAUUUGGCAUUCUGUGAUGACUCUGUUUUUGGGCUGUUAGUAGUAUCAAUUUUGCUGUUGUUGCUGUUCGGAAUGAAAAGCUAGCAGUUAAAAGUCAUAAGUUGUUCCAAAAGCUAUCAGAAUUGAUUAUUGAGUUAAAACAAGUUAGAAUUUCAAUAUAAGUGUCUUAGGAGAUGUGUAAACAUGUUUGCUUUGAUUCUGGAAAAUUUGAAUUGAAAUGGAAUUGUUUAAAGGUCAUAAGCUGUCAGUUAAGCUGUUGAUUAAGUUGCUGUAACAGUGGUUCAUAGAGAUGAUUAUACAUGUUGGAACUGUUUUGUUGAAGGUUGGGUCGAAAUUGAUAUGACAAAAGUCAUAAGUUGCUAUUUAAUUCGUUUGGAUAAUAGCUUAAAUUAGAAUUUAAGUUGUUUCAGGUAUUAUCUUGUGAAGACCAGCUUAGGAGAGAUAUGUUGAAUUGGUAUAUGAGUAAUGGAAAUAUUAUAAGCUGUUCUAGUAAUGGUAAUUAAGCUGUUUUAGAAGUACUGAAUUCUGGUGCAGGGACUGAAAUGGGAAUUUUUCUAUAUGCUGAUCGAUGAAAUAGGAGUAUGUCACAAGUGGCACUACUACACAUAUGUGUUUUAGUAACAUUCAUCUUGCAACACUUGUUUAAUAGUUACUAAUAUAGAGAUUUUUCUUAACAUUUUUUAGUAAGUGUUACAUUAGUGUCACUCUUUUUCGGUGGUGUUUAUAUCAAAACACAUUCAUAUUCUACUGAAACAAAAAAAACAAAAAACAUUUCAACUCUUUUAACACACACACACACUCUCUCUCUCUCUCUCUCUCGUCUUCGAGCUAACCAGAAGCAAACGUUCGAACAUGGCCGCAAAGCUAAAUGUGCGAUUACAAUCACAGGUGAAUUCACAAUUCUUCAAUUCCGAAUUCAAUUUCAUCUUCGAUUUCGAAAUUGAUUUUCAACUUCGAUUUCGUAUUUCAUUCAUCUUCGAUUUUAUUUGAUUUCGUCUUUGAUUCUGUAUACGAAUUCAUCUUUCUGUAUUCAAUUUCAUCUUCCAUUUCGUAUUUGAUUUCAUCUUCGAUUAUGUAUUUGUUUUCAUUUUUGGUUUCGCAUCUCCUUGCUUAUUUUUCUUUCACUUUGGUUUUACACGUUGAAAAGAUGGUUGAGAUGAAGUGUGAGUUUUGUAUUGUGUUGGUUUUUGUUUUGAUUUUGCUUUUGUUGUGCUUCAUGGUAGAAUGCUUGUUUUGUGUUUGAUAAAAUGCUGCAACCAAACUUUAUGACACAAUGCCUGUUUUCUGUUUGAUAAAAUGCUUCAAUCAACCUUUUAUGGUACAGUGCUUAAUGUUUGUCUGAUAAAAUGCUUGAACCAAAUUUUAUUUACUUCUCUAAUCUCAGAAAUGUGAUUCUCCUGCAUCUAUGCUCUUAAAAAUGUUUUUCGAUUCUGCAAAAUGAACAGAAUUGUUUGUUCGGAAUGCGAUUAUGUGUAAAUUUUAGAUUCGAUCUUAACUAAAAUGUUGGAAACUUAGGAUUGAAGAAAUGGAUAUUAGUUCCUCAAUGAUACAGAAGUCGGUCUGUUUCCCGUCACGCACAACCAAACUAUUGCUGCUUUAGCUCCGACUGUGGGUGGCUAUCAGAGCUAUUAGAAACCUGUAAUAGUGCAAAAGUUCACUUGGCAAUGUAUGUGUUUAGUUGUUUGGCUGAUUUAUGUGUGUAUAAGCUUCCCAUUGCAUAGGAGAAAUGUAACUUUUCAUGUUUGAAGCAAUAUAAAAACUACAAGGAAUCUCCACCUUCAGAUUCAUAGGACAAAAGUUCACUACUGGAUGUAGUUGUUGAAAUUUUAUUAACUUUGAUCUUUAUGGUUCCUCACCACUAGAAAUUUUGGUGUUAGGUUAUCAUGACGAUCUGUAUCAUACCUAACGAACACGUGGACCUGUAGCAAAUAUAUGAGGCAUAUUUGGGUUAUUCUGUAUUACAAACUGCCAAAAGCUUGUACAAAACUUGCAAAAAGAAAUAAAGAAAAGUCAAAUAUCUUCCCAUUAUUACUAUUUUUUUUUUUUUGUCUAAAUCUGUUAUGUCUUUUGUAGGUUCCAUGUUAAUAAGAUGUCUUCAGCCCAUGUUUAUGCCGGGCUGCUCAUAGGUCACUAUCGAUGACAUGAGUGAAGGUUUAUUGGAAGAUUGUGCUCAACUUGUCAAAGAAAAUUCAAUUCAAGGUAAAAUAUCGCGAUUAAUUAUUCCUAGUUUAGGAUACUGCUACUAGAGUUAUUGUCGAGGGUCUGUGGCCGGAUCAGACAAUUGUUUUCUAUCAGCAAUGUAACAUGUGGUUUACAUUUCAAGAGAUUUAUUUGAUCAAUUGUUGUUUCUCAGGAGUACAAAGGAAACAAAUAAAUAUAAAAUAAUUUGAGAGAGGUGCUAUAUGUCACGAAUACACUUCCUCACUAAUUUCACAAACUCUCUAUUUUUCUAUUUUUUAUUUUUAUACCUGAAAAUAUUUUGAAAAAUAGAACUGCUAGGGCGUAGUAUGUAUCGAUCAUCACGCAACCUCAGCUGCAUAUAUUAAAGAUCCUUAGUGUGUGUCUGCCAAAAAAUAUCACAGUUCAUGAAAACUUGGAUCCAAUGCUAUGAAGUUUGAAUUGUGAAUUUAUAAUGUUUUUUGUUUUCAGAUUUACUUCUAUGAGAAAUUACUUUUGUUUUCUUUCUGAACGUAAUUGUAUAUAUGCUCAUCAUGUUAUGUGUGCAUGACAAAUGAAUAAGUUAUUAAGCUAUUGAUUGUGGAGUGCAUUGCAUUGCUUGUCGUCGCUUUGCCAUGACUUAUAUUACUUGAACAAAUUCUUAUGUCCUACUUAUUGAAGUUCUCUUUGGUAGCAUGGGUUUUGCAUAUUUGUUGCAUACUUUUCUUUGUAGUUACUUUUCUGAAUAUAUAAAAUCAAUAAAAUCUCUGUAAAACAUCUUUAUUUAUCUGUUUUAGUAUUUUUCCCUCAUCUUUAUUUAUAUGCUGCAUUGUGGUUGUAAUGCAUUUGUUUUUCUUCUGAUAUACUGGUUUUGAUUUUGAAGUCCACCGAUGUUUGAACUAUGUUGAAUACAUUGAUUAAGAGUAUAUUUAGAACUAAUUAAGGAAGAAGUUAUAUGAGCGAUUGAGCCUUAUUCUUACAACCCUGUAGGUUUAGUUUCCCUUAGAAAGUUAUUUAUUUUGGUAGGUUAGCUGAAUGGAGGAGUUAAUACUACAGUUAACCGUGUACAAAUAUUUUGUGGUUUAUUUUAGGUUUAGUUUUUAAUAAGAUAUUAAGCAGCGGACGGAAUAAUUUCCUCAUGAGUAUAUCUUCCCCACAGAGCAAAGCAUAGCACAUCAAGAGAAAAAAAGGCAGGGACAAGGUAAAAUUUGCUAGGUCAAUAACAAAAUGGUUUAAAGGGGACCUUAAUGGAGCACAAGAAUCUGCAAUUGGCUGCCGUUGUUAAGCUUUCAUUUGGUUAUCUCUACUUUGACAAUGAUUUCUUCACGUUUCCUUGUCUUUUUUGUGGAUUUAGUUUUCUCGUUCCUUUCUGACUCCCUGUGUUCGUAACUGGGGUUUUUUGUUGUGAAAUUUUCUCAGCUCUUGUUACAGCGGAUAUGAUAUACUGUGAUUUUAAAGCUGCAGCUAACCUUAAUAUUACGAACAUGCGGACCCUUGGAUUUUACGGUUCAUUUUCUUGCCUUGAAUGCACUUGUUCUGGAAAAUAGGUGUCCUUUGGCAUUGUAAUGUGUCAUUGUUUAGAAUUAUUAAACUAAAUAUUAGGAGAGCUUCAACAAUAUUUAUGAUUCUGUCCAUCUUUCUUGGAUAAUCAAGAGAUACACUUCUGUUUUGCAGAGGGCUAAAGUUUGGAUAUCUACAACGUUUGGAGAUACACUACUAUUCCAGAUAUAUCAAAGUCGUUCUUUACUUUUUAAGUUUUGGGCUUUGUUCUUAAGACAUGCUGCAGAUUGGAUUGUGAAUCUAUUUUUCUGUUCAAUAUUUCUGUUGAUUAUGAGUAUUUCUUGAUUUCUUAUUUUCCUGUUUGGUGCUCCAAGAGAGGUGAUCUAUUAAUGUUGAGUAUUCCUUCUGGUUAGUUUUGUCUCUUGAUGUUGUGGUUUGAUUUAGUUCUUGCUGGUGUUGGUCUUAGUGGUUGCUGUACUUAUUUUAAUGAUCAUCACAAAUAAUGAAUUGUUAGUUAAUUGUCAUUCUGAUUCUUGUCUGCAAAAUAUAGAAUUCUUCAGUUGUGGUUCAUUAUUAUUUUUAUUUUUAGGAUUUGUUUGCAAAACACUAGAAUUGAAAUGUUAUUCAUGUGACACCUUAAGAUUAGUGGCCACUAGCUAGGAAGACAUCCUCCACUGAAUCUAUGACCACCACCAAGUUCCUUUAAAUGUGUUCCCAGUGCCAUAUAUACUUUUCUAUCACUGUACAAUGUCUGAAUUGAUAUAUGAUUUGAAUUAUAAGAUUAUCUUUAUUAGAGUUAAACUCCUAUCAUGCUCAGAUACAAAAGCUCGUGUAAUUUGGGGAGUUUAUUCUAAUUGAGUUCUGUCUCCACUAUCUAUGAAGUCUUUGUUGAAUGCAAAUUCCCCUGCUGUUGUUUAUUCUAAUUGAAUUGUGAAUUCUAAGAUUAUCUCUAUUAGCUAUUACACUUGUUUUUCUUAGUAUCCUUGUUGAGCAUGGUAUCAACGUUGCAGCUUGGUAAGUUUCAAUUGAUAAUGAUUUUCAUGACAGAAUCGUCCUUUGCAUUAAAAUUGUUGCACAAUACUGGUGAUGAGAUAAGGAAGGGAUGUCUGCAAUCUUGCUGGCAGAACAUUAUGAAGAUGAUUGCGGAUAAGCAACGGCACAAGACAAAGGAGAUUAAAGAGAAGGCUUGCAUUUCUCAUGUGCAGCUUGAUGACCUUAAAGAGAAGGGGGGAAAUUGUGUUGGAUGAAAACUUAAUUGUAAUCAUUUUUGUAUGUAAUUCAAAUUGUGUUGUAUAGUUCAAAUUGUGUUGCAUAGUUUAUUUUCGUCAUGCAAGAAUAAGAACAGAGAAGAGGGGAACUUUUAUAGAGUAUGUAAUUCAAACUAGUUAUUAAAACUUGUAUCUAAUAUUGGUUAAUUCAAAUAUGAAUGAAGUCUAAACUUGUAUCUAAAAUUAGUUUAGACAAUUUUGCGACAUUUUUUACAACUCCUCAAAAAUUAUAAAUGUAACACUUUUUUAUUGUUACAAGUGAUACAAAAAGUGUUACAAUAAGGUACCAUUUGCAACACUUUUUGAUUGUUACAGAUAGUACUAUAAAAUGUAACUAAAACACUUUAGUAACACGGGCUUUAUCUAACAAUUGUUCAAGUGUUGCUAAAUUUAAUUAGUAACAUUUUUCUUGAUUUAGUUACAAUUUUCAAGUGUUACUAAUUGCCAUUAGAAGUACUGAAUUCUGGUGCAGGGACUGAAAUGGGAAUUUUUCUAUAUGCUGAUCGAUGAAAUAGGAGCAUGUCACAAGUGGGUUGGGCUGUUUCGGAAAAGGCAAGACCUACAAGUCAAGGCAUAAGCUAUUUUGGAAAAGCGAUUAUAGAGUUUUGGAGAUAGCAGAAGUUGGAGAUUUUGGAUAAGUUGCUUUGCAAUUUUUGGGAGUAAUUCAAGGUGAGUUCCUUAGUUAGUUAACUCUCCCUUUGGGUAGUUUGAAUCAUGUCAUUGAAAUGGUGCUAUUUCCUUUUACUCAAUACAAUUGAGGUUUUAAUGGUUAUGCAAAUUCAUGAUAAUGUGAAUGAAAUUGUAUAUGAUAUGAAUGUUAUGAAAGUAUUUGUAACACCCCGUUUUCCCAACGUAAAAAUUUCAUUUAAUUAAUCAGAGUAUUCACAUUAACGGAAUAUCACGUUCUUUUCUUAAAAUCAUAAACUGAAUAAAUAACUAUUUAUCCUUUAAAAUUCAAUAACAAAAUCUUUAAUAUUUCGCAGCGGAGUUUAUUCAGUAACUAAAAACAGUAUUUGGCACUAAGGCCUCUUUAUAAAUGUUCUCAUAAAAAUCAAAUCUAAAAACAUAGUCAUAAAUCUUCAGAAUCAAUACGUAAGGAAUAGAAAAGUAAUAACAAAGUCCUCAUCCCGUUACGUAUCAGAGCACCUAAGACACUUGAGCCACCACUCCUACUAAUCAUUAAUACCUGCAAGUUACUCAUACGAAGAGCAACAUUUCCAAGCAGAAGGGGUGAGAUUUCACAAAACAAUAAUAUCAAGCAUAUAAUUCAAUAAUUAUAUUUAACAACAUAAAUAACUUCAUCUAUUAGUAAUAAUAAUUCUUCAUGUAAUAAUUCUUAAUAGUUCAAUCAUCUUCUAAUUAUCAUUUACUUCAUAUUCAUCAUAUAACACAUAUUAACCAAAUCGUAACAAACAUAGAUCAUCACAUCAUAGUCAUAGUUCAUAUAUAGUAUAACAACAUCUUAAUCCUAAUUCAUAUACAACAUAACAACAUCAUUAAUUCAUAAUAAUAAUUAUUCAUCAAACAUCUCUUUAUCAAUUCAUGAAUAAAAGACAGCUUAUCAACUUAACAUAUACAUCAUCAAGUACACCUAACAACUCAUAGAUAUCUUCAUGUAAUCAUCAUCACUAAUAACUUUAAAACAACACAAUGUAAUCAAUAUCUCACUAUAAUAAUAAUCAUAUACGACACAACAUAAUUAUCGCUUAAUAAUAAUAAUCAUAUACAAUACAACAUAAAUCAUCAUCUCAUAAUGAUAUGAACAACACAUAUUAAUCAUCUUAUAUUAAUAUAACAACAUAUACAUCGUCUUGUCAUAAUAUAAUAAUAUAACAACAACAUAUUCAUCUUCUUGUAUUAAUAUAACAAUAACGUAUUCAUCAUCUUAUAAAAUAUAACAACAACAUAACAUAAUAUUCACUUAAUAAUAAUUAAUCAUAUAUGGUACAACAUAAUCAUCACUUAAUAAUGACAAUUAUAUACAUCACAACAUAUAGCAUCAUAAAUACAUCACAUAAUCAACAUCGUAAACAUCAUCAUAACAUUAUAAUCAGUAUCAUAUACAAUAUCAUAACAACAUAACAAUAUCAUAAUCAAUAUCUUAAACAACAUAGCAACAUCUUAGUCAACUUUAUAUAGUUCACAUCAUAAACAUCGUAUAAUCUUCAUAGGUACUUCUUUAACAACACAUGGGUAGAAGACAACUCGACAACUCAUAGAUGAUAAUUCAUCACAACUUAACAACUCAUGGAUGAUAAUUCAUCAACAACGACUUUGACUCGACAAAUGCGACAAUGCAACUUAGACACUUAUAUGCAUGUGGUACCAAUCGUCAUCAUAAGUAUUAAUAUACUUUAAUCGUGCGGAGGACAAAGCUUCUAAUCGUGCGGAGGACAAAGCUUCUAAUCAUGGUGAGGACAAAGCUCAAUGAAUGCUAAUGCAUGGACUCUAUCAACAAGACGCCUUAAUCAACUUAUCACUUAUACAUCCAAUAAUUUGGAGUUCAUCAUCAACUUAUUCAUACUCAUGCAACUUAGUUAAAUAAUAAUUGCAGCAUAAUCAAAUCACAUCAAGCUUAAUAACAAUUCAUUUCAACAACAUCUUGAUCAUUCAAUAAUAUUUCGAGUAAUGCAUUUAAUCAUGAAAUCACAUUACAAACAACUUAGCAGUUCAUAACAGCAACAGAAACAGCACAAGUAAUUCACAACAUAACAAUAUUAGUGUGAAGCAUUAACAACUUAAACAUCAUACAUCUUCCACAUAAGGCAUAUAAAUAUUUCACAUAACCAACAACAGCAACAUAGGCGACACGUAAACAUCUCAAGAUAUAACAAUAUCAAAUGAUAAUCAACAACAACUUAAACAUCAUAUAUAAUUCACAUAAUGCAUAUACAAAUAUAUUACAUUACUAUCAACACUAAUUCAUAUUAUAAUAGCUUCACAAAUCAUCAAUAAUAUUAUAUUCAACCCACAUUCCUACCCCAACACUAAAUCAUAUUAUUAUACUCUUAAACACCUUAAUUGAACUCAUAGAACUUCUAGUUUUGAGGGUUGGUAUUAUCCUAUAAGUUUUGGAUUAACUUAGAAAUGGUUAUGCUGAAUUUUCAUAAGAUUUCACUGUGACCUACGUGCAGUAAUUUGACCAUAACUCAAGUUCUAUAAAUCGUUUUGACGUCAAUACCAGUUUCGUGUUUACAACUUUCGUGUUUACACCUAAGAUCAAUUCUGUACCAAUCAAUACCAGUUUUCAUUUCAAAUUCGGACAAAGUUGUGCUGAAAUUCAUAAAAAUUUACUAAGACCUCCUUGGAGUAUUUUCAUCAUAUCUCAAACACCAAAAAUCAUUUUCAUGUCAAACCAAAGCCACUGAAAAGCUAACACAAUUAUCUACAACUUUUAUGUUUACACCAAAGGCCAAUUCAAAACAGAAACGUGUGAAAAAAACGCAAGAAUGCGGAACAGAGAAUGCUGUCAAAGUGUAGCUCGCGAGGCGAGUAAGUGUACUCGCUGUGGCGAGUUGCGACGGACAAAUCUACGGGAACAGACCAGUUUUCACUCCAAAAGCCCCAAUUUCAUCAACCCAAAUACCAAAUUUGAUAGGAAACUCAACCUAUGUUUAUUCUAUAGCCUGAACUUCAAUUCUUAACACAAUUUCGAUGGUUUCUACACUUUUCAAUUCAAAAAUCAAUAAUCAAAACCUAAUCCCAAUUAUACAACCUAAGAACAACAACAUGUUAAAUCACAAAUUCAAAAUCAUAGGCUUAAGAAGAUUGAAUGUUAGUCUCACCCUUACCUUAAAGAAUGAAAAUCGCAGCCUCUAGGUCUUCUCCCUCUUCUCUUGGCUUUUUCCUCCUUUUUUCAAAAACAGUCGUACGUGCAAUUGUUUUUCUAAAACUAGGUUUUCUGUCCUUUUUAUAAAAAUCUUAACCUACUUAUUUUUCUCUUAAAUCCCAAUCUUAAUAUUCUAUCCCAAUAUAUAUAUAUAUAUAUAUAUAUAUAUAUAUAUAUAUAUAUAUAUAUUUUCCAUAACAAAUCAUUUAUACUUCUAUAACAAAUGACAUAUAUUUCUAUAACAAAUCAUAUAUAUUUCUAUAACAAAUCAUAUAUAUUUCUACAACAAAUAACAUUUAUAUUUCUAAAUCAAAUAAUAUAUAUAUAUAUAUAUAUAUAUAUAUAUAUUUCUAAAUCAAAUAGUAUAUAUAUUAUACUAAUAAAUACCAACAUAUAACAUAUCAAAAUAUCACUCAUCAAAAUAAAUCAUAUAAAUCACACAAAUCAUAUAAGUAUAUUCUAAACUCAUUAAAAUAAUCAAAUAAUUAGAGAGGGCGUGACAGUAUUGAUCAUGUGAAUUGGUUCUAGCAAUAAAACACUAAGCAAGACAAUUGAUUUAUAUACUUAUAUAAAUUAUUUGAAAGAAAAAUUGAAAUGCGUAACAUGCUCAUAGUAAAAAAUGUGAAAACUCUGUUUGCUACAACGAAGAGAUAAUGUAGCCUAUGAGGUACGACUCAUAGUAACAAAUGUGAAAAUCCGUUUUCUACAACGAAGAGAUAAUGUAGCCUAUAGUAACAAAUGUGAAAACUCCGUUUGCUACAACGAAGAGAUAAUGUAGCCUAUAAGGUACGACUCAUAGUAAAAAAUGUGAAAACUCCGUUUGCUACAACGAAGAGAUAAUGUAGCAUAUGAGAUACGGCUCAUAGUAAAAAAUGUGAAAACUCCGUUUGCUACAACGAAGAGAUAAUGUAGCCUAUGAGGUACGGCUCAUGUAACAAGAAAAAAAAUAUUGUUCGCCACAACGAAGAGAUAUAUGCACAUAGUAAAAUGUUUAAUUAAUGACUUGAACUUUUAGUUAAGAAUUGUGAUUAUGAUCAAUAUGAGUAUGUGUAUAAAUAAGAAUAUGACAUUAUGACAAAAUCAUGAUAGUAUUCUUCGUAGCGAUCUUAGUUAUCCGCGAUCGCUCAGUUAUGUAUGAUAAAGACUGUAUAAACCCGAAAUGGGUUGUGUUUAGAACAUAUGGCGAUCCUAGGUUCUCUGAGAUUGCCUACAACCUAGGAUAGGUGGAACUCACUGAGACAUCCUGUCUCACCCCAAUCCUUUUUACUUAUUUCAGAUAUUCAAGUUACUAGAUGACACAAUGGUUCGUGAUGAAGAAGCAGAAGUCGCUGGACCAUAUAAAGUUCACGUCAGUGGUAUUAUUUCAGAGUUAUAAGACGAGAACUUCCAUAUCUUAUUCAGAGGAAGUUUUGAUUAUUCUAAUUUUAAUGUAUCCAAUGCCAACUUUAACACAAAUGCUAGAUAAAUCCUAGGUAAUUUCUAGUAGGGGUGUUACAGUAAACAUGGAAUAUGUUUUUGUGACUUGCAUGAUUUUGUGCUUUCUUAAUCUUGUUGAACCUUUUUGUGAGGUUUGGACUUUCGGGUAGAAUCAAUUAUAUUAAUGAAUCUUGAGAGUCAUUAUAUUCAUUCAGGGAAUUUAUAUUCCGUCGAGAUGAUUUUUGGGAAUUUAAUAAUAUUAGACCGGCGACUUGAGUAAAUCUUAGAAAAAGAAAAUAUUAGAGAUGACUAGUGGUUUUUGAAUAAGGAGACAAUUCUAAGAUGUUUGGGACCGAUUAGAAGUCCAUCUGAGUUAGAUAGAACUUUAUCAGUUAUGUGUACCUUAAAACCGUGAAAUACGAUUUCAGUUUAUUUCCAAAAUCAAAACACUAUAUAUAGUAAGUUUGUGGUCCAAAACUCAUUAAUCAACAAAUUUACUCUAUUCUCUAUCCAAACCCGUAAGCCACCCUCCCUCCUCCAUCUUCAUCUUGUUUUGGAUGUAACUUCUUCGUUCCUUAUCCGAAUCGCGCAAACGAGAUAUCAAAACGAAGCUAGUGACGAAUCCUACGGUCCGAUACAUGAUUCACUGUGAUUUGAUGAGGUAUUCCUCUCCUUUUUCAUUUUUUUAAACUCGGUUUUGGGUAUUUUUGGAUAUUGGAUGUUGAGUUUUGAUUUUCUUGCGUGAUGUUAUGCAUUAAUGUUGUUCGGUAAGUCCGAAUGAAUAUACUCCCUCCGUCCCAUAAUAACUGAGCCAUUUGCAAAAAAAUAUUGUCCUAGAAAAAUUGACCCAUUUCAAUUUUCAAUACAAUAUUAAUUACUUUUUUCCAAUUAUAACACUAAUUAAUACUACUUUCACCAUUCCUAAUUCAAUAUAUUCUACUAUGCAUUUAUGAUAAAAAAGAAUGCACCAAUAGUUGAUAAGGGCACUCAAACCCAUUUUUCUCUCUCUUUUGCGGAGGGAGUAUAUCCACAAAAAUAUUUAUGAUUCGACUAUUUUUAAAUUUUAGCAUUAUUGGAAAAGUGUCUAAAUGUGAAUUUUAUUUGAUAUUUAUGAUAUAGACGAGUAAAUGAGUUGAUUCAACCUAUUUGUUUUCAAAAAAUGUUGUCCCGACGAAAGCGCUGAACCGUGUAGGGGCAUUUUUGUAAUUUUUGAAUUGUUGAAAUAUGAAAAUGAGUUGAGAAAUGGAUUUGCGUCGAUGAGACAGUCGAAAUGGAUAUAUGGUUUGCGACGUUUUGAGUAGGGAUGAAUUUAUUGUGAUUUUUUGAAAGUAGUUUAAAUUUGAGCUACCGCUGGAAGUGACUGUUGACACUUUCAAAAUUCAAAUUUUAAAUGUUUGAAUUGGUGAGUUGUGAAAAUAUUUUUUUCUGUGAAUUUAUGUUAGGUUGGCCGAGUCAAAGGCUCUAGUAUACGAUGUAAACACAAAGGAGACUGUUGAAAAUUCGUCAGAAUCAUUUUCUUAGUUUUGGGGUGAUUUUGAAAAGAUGUUUCAAAACGGAAAACAAGUUGGGAUUCAUUUGGAAAUGAAAAAUAUUUUAUGAACAAUUUUGAUCUCUUUAAGGUCUUUUGAUAGACAUAAAGUAUUUGAGAAAAAUGUUUUCAUGGGUGAUUUUAAGGAGAAAAGUUAUUUUAUUUAGUGUCUUCGAAGUAUUUGAGAAUAUUUUUGAAACAAAAUAUUUUUAGCGGUUGAAAUUUGGAAAGAAAAGUCUUUUCAUAAAGAGUUUCCUUCAAUAUACUUUUGUUAACUUUAGGUCAUGAGAUGACUUAAAUAAUUUCAAGGAUUUUGAGAUGAAUGUCGUAUUGAAAAAUAUAUUAUUUAAGUUUUUGAAAAUAUUGAAUUGAUCGUAUUUUCAAGCGUUGUUGAUAUUUCACCAAGAACGGGUAGAGAGUUUUAGAGCCGAUUUUUACCUAAGUUAUUGUAUCUAUUAGGAUACAUAGCUCGAGGGUUUAGAGAUGUUCUUGUUGUAGAUGCUUACGAGUUGGAGAGCUGUAUGUUUUAAGGAAUGUGUUGCUCAGGUAAGGGCAUUUUCUAGAAACUCCAUAGUUACUUAAAUGCUUGGAUGAUUUAUGUGCUAAUUUGUCUAUUGUGAAUAUGAUAUUUUGAGUGAAUGUGUCUGCUCAGUGUGGGAUCUGUAUGCCAUCAAUGUGAUUAUGAUAAGUUGAUGUGCAUCGCUUUCAUAUGAUUUAUGAGUAAAUAUAUGAAAUGCAUGUUGUUUUGUGAAAUGUUGUUUCGUAUGAAUUGAAAUAAAAUAUGUAAACUGCCAGUUGAGGCAUGUUAAAAAUAUGGAACUUCCAGUUGAGGCAUGUUAUUAUCAAUGCAUAUAUUAAAUGAUAUGUAAGAGUUACAUUUGCACAUAUUGAGUGGACAAUAUAUGCUCAUAGCACGUGUACGCACAAAUUUUAUAGUACGCGUUAGUCAGUUGCGACGCGCGGGGUGUGGACUGCCGUGAAGGAACCCACUUUAAAUCUAUGAGAUUUAUUGAGUCUUGGUUGCUCGACCAUUGUGGGGGGUUUAUCUCAGAUGUGUCUGAAUGGGGACCACAUGAUUUGCUCGACCAUUGUGGGGGGUUUUCCUCAGAUGUAUCCAUAUGAUAAUCAUGAAUUUCUUAGUAGGUUUUGCCUAUGACCAUCUGCAGAGUGGAUUAUUUCGGAAUCAUUUGCUAGGCUAAUUGUACAUCAUUAUAUUUUGUGUGAGGAAUGUUUAUGUUGAUACAAUUUACCAUUCUAGUUUGCUAUGCCUGCUGUAUUUUUGUAAUUAUGUUGUAGCAGUUUGACAGUCAGGCUUGAUGUCAUUGGUGGGUUCUUGUACCCUGUCAUCUAGUUCAGAGUUAAAUAGGAUCAGCUUAGUUGUAUUCAUGUAGAGUCCUUUGUGUAAUUUUUUUUAUACAUUUGUUGGGCAUCGUUGUAAAUGAUAUUACCUUGAGAAAUGAAUAAACGACCCCGGGGGUAAAUGAUAUUACCUUGAGAAAUGAUAUUACCUUUAAUGGGCAUCGUUGUAAAUGAUAUUACCUUGAGAAAUGAUAUUACCUUGUAGAGUCAUUUGUUGUGUAAUUUUUUUAUACAUUUUUUUACUCAGUGUAUAGUUUGAAAUUGAAAACUCAUUGCCUAUAACUAUUUUAUAAAAUAUGGCAUUGGAUUCAUAUUGUAUUGUGAAAAACGCUGUCAAAAAUACACCGAAAAACCAAGCCCAAAUUGAAACAGCAAAGGGGUGCUGCAAGAAGAGGCGAGAAGUAAGAACACAAAUAGAGACAACCACACGACCCCGGGGGUCGAAGAUUCUCAUCCGUAUGUAAUUUAUGGUCUAAAGCGCGCCAAAAAGUAAAGGAGGAAGAGGGUGGAAUGUAGUUCCGCCAAAUCAUGUCAGCCGAAGGAACAACCGUAGAGGGCGGAUUAAGAAAAUUAAAAACAAGCUUAGCCACUAAUAAACCAUCCGGAUAAUGUUUCCAGACCAGCUGAUCGCCAAGAGGAAUAAUAGGCGAAGAGAUAGCCUUAAUUCUAGACUUAAUAUCCGGUUGACAAGCAAAUUCAGGAGGAAGAUGCCAACAACCAUCCUUGAUCAAAGAAUUCAAAGUAUCGGAAAAAUGCUUCUCGAGAUUGGGAGGAAUAUCCAUAAAAUCUAUCAAAGGAACCCCAAGCCAACUAUCGUGCCAAAGAUUUAUAAAAUUACCGGCGGCAAUCAGCCUUAAACAAUUAUCAAUAACAAAGCCAAUUUUGGUUUUAAUGCCAGCCCAAACUGAGGACGGUAAAUGACGCUAAAUUGGUUGGCCAAAAGAAAAAUAGAGUUUCAUAAACAUUGCAAACCAUUGAGACUUUUCAGCCAUAAGCUUCCAACUAAGGUGCAAAAAGAGAGAAUCAUUAAUAGAACGGGUAGAUUUCAAGUUCAAACCACUCGCUUCCCAGGGAAGACAAACAGUUUUCCAAGCAACCGUACAAACUUUCUUAGUAUUAACAUCACCGCUCCAGAUAAAUUUUUUAAUCCAACGAUCCAAAGACUUAUGCAACAUCACCGGCCAUUGAUAGGCAGCAUGUAUGAGGUCUCUCAACAACUUGUUGACAUUGUUACUCAUGAUUCAUAAUGAGGUUCAACAAGUCAAGGAGUUGAAGGCUAGACGAGGCAAUUCUAGUGACAAUAUUGUCACCUCCAUCAAAUAAGGAAGUGAAGGGAACCCAAGUUAGACUAGCGUUUCUACUCAACCUACUUUAGUAGGAUCUUUACGAGUUCAGCCGAUACCUGUAUUACAAAUAGCUUCUACUUAUAAUUCUCAACCUACUACUUUUUUUACACCGAUAACCCUAGGGGACACCCAAUGGCUAAUGAUACAUACUACCAUGCUAAUCUUCAAGUUGAACAAAUUACAUAUGACAAGGAGAUCAACAUGCUAAUCAUCAGGUUGAACAAGUACAUACUAAGGCGAAUAACAAAUUAGCAUGUUUGGGACAUGGCAAAUCAAAAUUAAAAACAUCUAUACACGAACGAUAGCUUAGUAAUAGGCUUAUAAAAAAUAUACACAUUAACUAUACUACGACACUUUCUCAAUAUAUAGAUUGUGGUAGUACUCAGUUUUGAAAUACAUCAAGGUUUCAUCACAUGACAACAGUUGCAGGACAUCAAGCUUGUAGAUGCAAUUAUGUUUCAACAAACACUCUUAAUUUCUUUCCUCCCAAUAGGAAGAAUCACUUUGGAUAGGAUAAAGGUCUGCAGCUGAUGAAGGUGAAGCAGUCCAUCCAUCACUUAAUAAACUCUGACUUUGUGUUUGUGACUUGCUCAUCGUUUUGUCUUCGAUCUGAUAGUAAUACUGUCUCAUUUCUUCCAUCUUAUUGCCAUCCAUUACUUUACUUGAAUCUGGCACAAAUUCUGGAACCACGGUUCUUCCUUCAAGCAUACUUACAACUGACGACAUAGAGGGCCUAAGGUUUGAAGUGACAUUGGUGCAUAGGAGAGCCACAUUGAUCAUCACCAUGGCUUCCUUUUUGUUUAAAUCUAAACCUAAUCUUCCAUCAACUAGCUCCAUUAGGUCACCUUUCUCUUUCAACAUAUGUGCCUGUUGAAACAAAGAAUUGUUUUGUGAACCCUAAGUAAUUUACAAAUGAGAGGUGAUAUUUUGAUACACAAAUUUGACAUCAAAAUUCGACAACAAUU
rnacentral:lncRNA from 1 species